CCCUUAGAUGUCCUGGGCUGCACGCGCGCUACACUGAUGUGUCCAGUAAGCACCUAACCUCUUCCGAAGGGAACGGGUAACCUUAGCAAAGCACAUCGUGAUGGGGAUAGAUUAUUGCAAUUAUUAGUCUUGAACGAGGAAUUCCUAGUAAGCACAAGUCAUCAGCUUGUGUUGAUUACGUCCCUGCCCUUUGUACACACCGCCCGUCGCUACUACCGAUUGAACGGUUUAGUGAGGGCCUCGGAUUGGUCUCGGCCCGCUCUUUACCGGGCGGCGCCGUUGGUCGAGAAGACGCUCGAACUUGAUCGUUUAGAGGAAGUAAAAGUCGUAACA
rnacentral:rRNA from 1 species